rnacentral:rRNA from 1 species
GACGAACCGAGCGAACGUUAUUCGGAAUCACUGGGCUUAAAGGGCGCGUAGGCGGGUGGCCAAGUCUAUGGUGAAAUCCUCCAGCUUAACUGGAGAACUGCCGUGGAUACUGGUCAUCUCGAGGAAGGUAGGGGCAUCUGGAACUGGUGGUGGAGCGGUGAAAUGCGUAGAUAUCUGGAGGAACAUCGGUGGCGAAGGCGGCAUCCUGGACCGGUAUUGACGCUGAGGCGCGAAAGCCAGGGGAGCAAACGGG